UAGGGAAUCUUCGGCAAUGGGGGCAACCCUGACCGAGCAACGCCGCGUGAGUGAAGAAGGUUUUCGGAUCGUAAAGCUCUGUUGUAAGAGAAGAACGUGUGUGAGAGUGGAAAGUUCACACAGUGACGGUAACUUACCAGAAAGGGACGGCUAACUACGUGCCAGCAGCCGCGGUAAUACGUAGGUCCCGAGCGUUGUCCGGAUUUAUUGGGCGUAAAGCGAGCGCAGGCGGUUUAAUAAGUCUGAAGUUAACGGCAGUGGCUUAACCCUUGUUGGCUUUGGAGACUGUUAAACUUGAGUGCAGAAGGGGAGAGUGGAAUUCCAUGUGUAGCGGGGAAAUGCGUAGAUAUAUGGAGGAACACCGGUGGGGAAGGCGGCUCUCUGGUCUGUAACUGACGCUGAGGCUCGAAAGCGUGGGGAGCAAACAGG
rnacentral:rRNA from 1 species